UUGCUAGUAAUCGCGGAUCAGCAUGCCGCGGUGAAUCCGUUCCCGGGCCUUGURCACACCGCCCGUCACACCACGAGAGUUUGUAACACCCGAAGUCGGUGUGGGAACCUUUAUGGACCCAGCCGCCGAAGGUGGGACAAAUGAUUGGGGUGAAGUCGUAACAAGGUAGCCGUAUCGGAAGGUGCGGCUGGAUCACCUCCUUUCU
rnacentral:rRNA from 1 species